rnacentral:rRNA from 1 species
CGGACGGGUGAGGAAUACAUCGGAAUCUACUCUGUCGUGGGGGAUAACGUAGGGAAACUUACGCUAAUACCGCAUACGACCUACGGGUGAAAGCAGGGGAUCUUCGGACAUUGCGCGAUUGAAUGAGCCGAUGUCGGAUUAGCUAGUUGGCGGGGUAAAGGCCCACCAAGGCGACGAUCCGUAGCUGGUCUGAGAGGAUGAUCAGCCACACUGGAACUGAGACACGGUCCAGACUCCUACGGGAGGCAGCAGGC